UACGAAGGGGGCUAGCGUUGCUCGGAAUCACUGGGCGUAAAGCGCACGUAGGCGGAUUGCUAAGUCAGGGGUGAAAUCCCGGAGCUCAACUCCGGAACUGCCUUUGAAACUAGAUUGCUAGAAUCCUGGAGAGGUGAGUGGAAUUCCGAGUGAUAGAGGUGAAAUUCGUAGAUAUUCGGAAGAACACCAGUGGCGAAGGCGACUCACUGGA
rnacentral:rRNA from 1 species